CCGGCGACCGGCGCACGGGUGAGUAACACGUAUGGAACCUGCCCGCAGCAGGGGGAUAAGCGGAAGAAAUUCCGUCUAAUACCGCGUAACAACGUUGGGAGGCAUCUCCCGAUGUUUAAAGAUUUAUCGGCUGCGGAUGGCCAUGCGGCGCAUUAGCUAGUCGGCGGGGUAACGGCCCACCGAGGCGACGAUGCGUAGGGGUUCUGGGAGGAAGGUCCCCCACACUGGUACUGAGACACGGACCAGACUCCUACGGGAGGCAGCAG
rnacentral:rRNA from 1 species